rnacentral:rRNA from 1 species
UACAGAGACUGCAAGCGUUAUUCGGAUUCACUGGGCGUAAAGGGUGCGCAGGCGGCUAGGUGUGUGAGGCGUGAAAGCCUGGGGCUUAACCCCAGAAUUGCACCUCAAACUACUUGGCUAGAGCAUUGGAGAGGGUAGCAGAAUUCAUGGUGUAGCAGUGAAAUGCGUAGAUAUCAUGAGGAAUACCAGAGGCGAAGGCGGCUACCUGGACAAUUGCUGACGCUCAGGCACGAAAGCGUGGGGAGCGAACAGG